CUACGUGCCAGCAGCCGCGGUAAUACGUAGGGUGCGAGCGUUAAUCGGAAUAACUGGGCGUAAAGGGCACGCAGGCGGUGACUUAAGUGAGAUGUGAAAGCCCCGAGCUUAACUUGGGAAUUGCAUUUCAUACUGGGUCGCUAGAGUACUUUAGGGAGGGGUAGAAUUCCACGUGUAGCGGUGAAAUGCGUAGAGAUGUGGAGGAAUACCGAAGGCGAAGGCAGCCCCUUGGGAAUGUACUGACGCUCAUGUGCGAAAGCGUGGGGAGCAAACAGGAUUAGAUACCCUGGUAGUCCACGCUGUAAACGAUGUCGAUUUGGGGAUUGGGCUUUGAGCUUGGUGCCCGUAGCUAACGUGAUAAAUCGACCGCCUGGGGAGUACGGCCGCAAGGUUAAAACUCAAAUGAAUUGACGGGGGCCCGCACAAGCGGUGGAGCAUGUGGUUUAAUUCGAUGCAACGCGAAGAACCUUACCUACUCUUGACAUCCAUGGAAUCUUGUAGAGAUAUGAGAGUGCUUCGGGAAC
rnacentral:rRNA from 1 species